CGAAGGGUGCAAGCGUUACUCGGAAUUACUGGGCGUAAAGCGUGCGUAGGUGGUUAUUUAAGUCCGUUGUGAAAGCCCUGGGCUCAACCUGGGAACUGCAGUGGAUACUGGAUGACUAGAAUGUGGUAGAGGGUAGCGGAAUUCCUGGUGUAGCAGUGAAAUGUGUAGAGAUCAGGAGGAACAUCCAUGGCGAAGGCAGCUACCUGGACCAACAUUGACACUGAGGCACGAAAGCGUGGGGAGCAAACAGGAUU
rnacentral:rRNA from 1 species